CCCAACUGAAAGUAUAUAUACCUACUAUAUGAAAGCUGUGCCAACAUGCAAAUCUGCUUCAAGAAAAUAUGUGCCCGCUAAAGGCAAAUUAGUGGACAAGGUUCGAAAUCUCCUGUACAUAUCAGGAGAAAAGUGCAGGGGCUUAAACCCACUUGCUCUAAUAGGGAUUCGGAUACAGAUGUAGAGUCUGUGGAAAAUAAUCAAGGGACUGCUUCAAAUGACGACGCUAUUUGGCUGAAAUAUAACAAUGAGCUAUAGGACCAAGUUUGUGAAAGGUGGAAUAACACCUUUGAAUUAAGACACAAACAAAAAUUUGAAACUGUACAUGAUUUUCUUGAAACCUGGGCCAUUUGAAAAGACAGCAAAGUAGAUACUCUGCAAUGACAACGACGCCAAAAAACGAGCGAAAAGAAAAAGAGCACACAAGCAGAUCACAUUCAGUCAUUAGCAUUUAGUUUGUUGGAUGACAACUUGAAAAUGUUCAAAUUCAAAUGGGAUUCAAGUUCAACCCAGGACCUUGUACUUCAUAGGCAGAGUCACUACCCACGAAGAAAGAUACAGAGGCCGUUAAAACACAAAAUAAUUCCGGUGCGGAUUUACCUGCUAUAUUUUUUAAUACCACCCAAAGGCCGAAAAUCUAGGAAAGUCAAGUUCUCAACCACUGAAUCAAUCCAGGGCUUAUUAGUUCAGAUAGAUGACGCCGGAGAUAUCGACAGCGUAAUCGCAGCCCAGAAAGCUAAGGCUGCAGCCCGGAAGGAUACCGUGCAACCCUUCGUGAUCAUACAAAGACCGCUACAAAACUUCGCCCAGAUAUACAUCGUUAUUCAUGAUAUCAAAUACCACGUGCAUUCAGCAGCAAAGGCGUUCGACUUAUUGUUUAAGAUUUACCACGUUUUCCACGCCAAGUAUCCCCAAGUGUGUGAGCACCUCCACGUAAUUAUUCAAAAAAAGUGUAUCAAAUCCAUACGGCGUAUGAUACAGUAGGUACCACCGUAUAUAGUUGACGCUUUAAACUUAGAUGUGUAAAAUUUGGUCUUUGUAUUUUUAUUAAUAGUAUAGGAUCCGUACUAAGCUCGAUCUUUACCAACGUGUUAACCAGAUGAAAAUAAGUUUCUGAACAUGUCUCCUCAAUAAAAAUGAAUGGUCAAGAUUAUUUUUUUAAAAUCUUUGAAUUUUUUUUAAAUAAUCUUGACCAUUUUUAUUGAGGUUACCAUAGUAAGACAUGUUCAGAAACUUAUUUUACUUAAUAAAAUAUUAUUUUCACCUGGUUAACACGUCGGUGAAGAUCGAGCUUAGUACGGAUCUUAGACUAUAAAGUUCUUGAAAUGUAAAAAUAUACUAAGCUACAGAAAUUUUAUCUAUGACAUUUGGUCUUAUGUACCUACCUAAGUAUUUGCACCAUCUAUUUACAAUUGACGUGAUUUGUUCUAAGUUUGACUUGUAGAGAAUCUUGGUACUUUUAAAAAGUACAUUUUACAUUUGGAACUUAUUCAUAAAAUAAAAACUACCAUUAUUUUUAUGUGAAAGUGAGUAUCUUCAAUUACAAAUAGAGUAAGAGAUUAUGUUUUCUUUAAAUCAUUUACUAUUAGCAAACAUU